rnacentral:rRNA from 1 species
UGAACUGAGACACAUGAACAUCGAUAAGUUGAACGCAUAUUGCGCAUCGAGAGUUAAUGCUCGAUGCACAUAUCUUUGAGAGUCC